ensembl:lncRNA
UAUGAGUAAGUGCAUGUAUGUGCAUGUGUGUUUAACUGUGUGUGUGUGUGUGUGUGUGUGUGUGUACAUAUGUAUAUGUUUCUCACCUCUUCUAUCUUGCGCUGCAUGUCCUGCAAUUGUUCCUCCCACUCCAGCAUCUCUGAGUCAAACUCAGGCCUCUCCCCCACCCACACACCACGCUGCAGGUCCAGGGCAGCCAUUCAGGUGUGUGUGAGUGUGUGUGUGUGUCUGUAUUAAUGUGUGUGUAUGUGUCUGUAUUAAUGUGUGUGUGUGUGUGUGUGUGUGUGUGUGUGUGUGUGAGAGAGAGAGGGUUUCUGUAUGAGUGUAUGUGUUAAGACAGUUAUUUCCUCAAUGCCUCUUCAAGUCAGAUGGAUUCAGUAAUGUGGUGCUUACGGGUUUGUGUGUGUGAGUGUUAGUGUGUGUAACCGAGUGAGUGUCUGUGUGUUUGUGUGUGUAUUACAGGGGUCUUGCUGUCCUAAGCUGUUGGCGCUGUCAAAGAGCACAAACAGGGAUGAUUAAAGGUCUACAAAACCAAGGGAGACAACAACAUAAAUCAGUCUCUUCUUAUUUGAGGGGGAAACACUGACCUAUACGCAUACUGUAUGAGAGGGAACUCAUGAACUUUAGCACCUAAUGUGUGAAAGAUGAUUUAUUUAGCGUCUCCAAGGUGCGUCAACGGAAAGCGUGACUUGGCUGCCGGGGGACCACAGUUGUCCCUGUUUCCCAAAUUGAUCACGCCCAUUUGUUACUGGCACUCAGUGAAAGGGGGAUUUCUGCCGUCACGUAACAUGACACCUGCAAGCUCUGGCUGCCUUUCCUCUAGAAAAUGCCCGAAUGUACCACUAUGCGUGAUGUAAGCGCGGAGAUAUUUUUACCCUAUGUAACUAUGGUUCUCAAGCUCUGCGCGCAUACUGGCACCAACAGAUCCAGAGAAGUAAAUAAACAUUACAUGAAAAUUAAUACAUCUCUUGAUUAAAGUGUUUCGAGUAAUCUUGUGAGAAUUAAUAUUUACCAUGCUUACAAAUUGUCAUAAUAUUUUCUACACGUAUGCUAAGGUGUCCUAAGGGGAUUACACAUCCUUCAGGCGCAUGGGUUAUCAUUACAACACACUGACAUAUAUGGAUUUGUGUCACUUAAAUGCAGGACAGAACUUGAUCCAAACGUAACCCUUUGACUUACCCUUGUUACGCUGUGUUGCCUCAACUAGUUCUGUGAUAUUCGUAGCAGUGUUUUGUGUGAAAAUAGUCCCAAGUUAUAAAGUAUACAAUACAAGUAUACUAGUAUACAAUAUUCCCCGAACACACUAAACAGCCUCCGUCACAGUCCUUGCGCUCUGCUCUGUCAUUUGGCUAUCCUCUUGGACAGCACGAGACUCUGAGAACGAAUUCCGUCCGGCUGGUGUCCCCUCUGUCCCGCUCUCGCUGCUCAGUUGUGACGUAGGGUUUUGAGGGAAGGACUUUUAAGUAGCCCAGGUACCGCCCCUUGUGGCAGGUGCCUCUUUUUUCGGGGUAAACAACUUCUGCCUCCAAGGGGCCCACCGGAGCUUACCCCACGCGACCACAGGAGCCGGGAUCGAGUGUCAUAAUGUCAGAUUUAUUCUGGCAUUUGCGACGAAUGGGCCGGGCUGUCGUCACUCCCACAUCGGGUUAUAAUUACUAUCAGACAAAGUGUUUAUAGAGCUAUUCCUGGUUCGAUAUCGCUCCGGGUACCGCCGCUGCUGCCCCGUUGUUGCUAUUCCUCUUUGGGAGCGCGGCAGAUUUGUAUCUUGUGACCUCUGCCUACUAGUUCUUGGCAUAUGGCAGCGCCCUUACUAGCAGAACCUUCGCAUCUCACGACGCGUGCAUAAUGUUUUAUUUCGGAGAAGCUUUCCAGAGAAUGCACGCAAGUCUAACUGCCAAACUGUCUUCAAAAUGUAAUGGGUUAGUUCUAUCACCAGCCAUAGUGUUUAUUUAUUUUGACACUUGUCAUCAUUGCGCAAUGUGCCCGUGCUUCAUUUAACCCUCGCGAACAGUGACCCAAAUAACUGACCAACCGCGCUGAGGACAGAGCCACGGAAGAAAAACAAGGAUGUUCAAACAGCCUCCAUCCUCACCCCACAAACGGCCAUGCGUCAGUGACGCAAUAAAAAUAAUCUGGAAUUUCGACGUAAACGCAAUUGGAACCCUCUCCUGUAUCAAUCACUAGGGGAAAGGUGAUGAGGGUGGUGGGGCUGGGGGUACCAGGAGGGAGGAGUUGAGUAUCUAAUAUCUAAGUAAAAUCCUGGAGCCAAGACCAAGACAUACUAAAAUAUUUCCUUUAGAACUACAUAGCAACUGAGUAGGUGAUUCAAUGACACCGGAAUGAGAGUAUGUUUAAGCAUAACCACCCACAGUACAUCAACAACACCAGUACGACACUGUUCAGUAGAUGCUUUCAG